rnacentral:rRNA from 1 species
GCUCAGGAUGAACGCUAGCUACAGGCUUAACACAUGCAAGUCGAGGGGUAGCAGGGUAGCAAUACCGCUGACGACCGGCGCACGGGUGAGUAACACGUAUUCAACCUUCCCAUAACUCGGGGAUAGCCUUUCGAAAGAAAGAUUAAUACCCGAUAGUACUUAAGAAAGGCAUCUUUUUUAAGUUAAAGAUUUAUUGGUUAUGGAUGGGGAUGCGUUCCAUUAGAUAGUUGGUGAGGUAACGGCUCACCAAGUCCUCGAUGGAUAGGGGUUCUGAGAGGAAGGUCCCCCACAUUGGUACUGAGACACGGACCAAACUCCUACGGGAGGCAGCAGUGAGGAAUAUUGGUCAAUGGGCGAGAGCCUGAACCAGCCAAGUAGC